AAGUGCAACUGUCCGGCCAGGCCAGCGAAGAGACUGGGCGUCCCGAGGGCUGCAGAUGGAGCUGGGAGUGGGAGGCGCCUCCUGUGGGUGGUUGCUAAUCACUCACAGCAAACCAGUUGGUCCAGGAGGAAAGAGGAAGAAGAAAGUAAGCGGAUCGGUGGGGACGAAAAGGAAUCAGAAGGGCGAUGCGGGGAAGCAGAGGACAGGAGAGGAAGGAAGGACCACUCAGACGCUGAGCGGCCGCUAGGAAGUCAGCCCUGCGCGGGACUGGGCGGGUCCGGGGCGCGCGGGGCUGCAGGCGGAGCCCGGGUGCGCCCGGGAGCCCGGCAGAUGCUGGAGAGUCCGCCCAAGGCCUUCCCGCUGCCUCGGCCGCCGCCGGAGACCGCAGGGCACUCGCGCGGCCGGGCCACCCGGGCCGUCCCCGGCUCCCCGCGCGUCCAGGCCGCGCCUCCCCACCGCCCGCGGGGCCCGGCGACGUCACUGCGGCUCUGACGCGCGCUAACGGAGGCGCGGGCGGAGAAGGCGCGGGGCGGCGCGAGUGUCCUCGCGGGAGGUCCGGUCCUCGCAGCCCGUGGGCCGCUUUCUUGGCCCUCCUCCAGGGGAACCUCGAUUUUUCCAAACUCUGGAAGGCCGGCUGUCCUUCGGCCACUGAUAAGGACAGCUAGCACCUGGUAAAAGAUUUUAACAAUGCCCGCAAAGAAAUAGCCGGACCCAGGAAAGACUAGUAAGUGCCGCCAGCUAGAGUUCUGCUCGUGUGCUCGGCGGUCCUAGGGACAAUAAUAACGACCACAACCACAGUAGCCACCAUUUAUUGAGCGCUUACUCUGUGCCAGGCACGGUGUUAAACGCUUUGCAGGCAACAAACCCUCGGAGGUGCCAGAUAGAGAUGCGCCUCCCGAAAUCCGGUCGGGGACCAGUCGGCGAGGUCCUCUGAAGGGAUGGAGCCGGGGCGGAGGCAGCAGGAGGGAUCCCGGGUCCCACCUGCAGAUCUGCGUUGACUGGCGGCUUGCCCCGCGCGGCCGGCAGAGGGCGCUGCCGCACGCGCCUCGGGUCCCACGAUCCCCAGACCCUGGGGCUGGCGGGCCUCCGCUUGCAGGCCUGGAGACUCAGAACCCCAAAGUGGGAGCCUUUUAUUCCGCGUAGCUGGCACCCCCCCUCCCCCCACCUCCCCAUCUGGCCCUUCGUCUCAGCCUUGGGCCUGCUUUUCCUGACCACUCUUCCCCAUCGUGUGUGCUCCUGCCACCCCAACCAUCUGCCUUCAAGAUUUCCCCAAUCCCUGCACUGUUGGUGUGGUCACCUCUUAAGAGGCAAGAACACCGAUCCUAUCCCAUUAAAAGACAUCCCAUGAUAAGUCAAA